UUCGCCCUUAGAGUUUGAUCCUGGCUCAGGAUGAACGUUGGCGGCGUGCCUAACACAUGCAAGUCGAGCGUGAAGCUUGAAAACAAACCUUCGGGUGAGUUUUUAAGUGGAAAGCGGCGGACGGGUGAGUAACGCGUGGGCAACCUACCUCAUACUAAGGGAUAGCCACUGGAAACGGUGAUUAAUACCUUAUAAGACUACAAUAACACAUGUUAUAGUAGUAAAAGAUUUAUCGGUAUGAGAUGGGCCCGCGUCUGAUUAGCUAGUUGGUAAGGUAACGGCUUACCAAGGCUUCGAUCAGUAGCCGACCUGAGAGGGUAAUCGGCCACACUGGAACUGAGACACGGUCCAGACUCCUACGGGAGGCAGCAGUGGGGAAUAUUGCACAAUGGGCGAAAGCCUGAUGCAGCAACGCCGCGUGAGUGAUGAAGGCUUUCGAGUCGUAAAGCUCUGUCCUAAGGGAAGAAUUGAUGACGGUACCUUAGGAGGAAGCCCCGGCUAACUACGUGCCAGCAGCCGCGGUAAUACGUAGGGGGCAAGCGUUAUCCGGAAUCAUUGGGCGUAAAGGGUGCGUAGGCGGCCAAAUAAGUUAGAGGUGAAAGGCUAUGGCUUAACCAUAGUAAGCCUUUAAAACUGUUUGGAUUGAGUGCAGGAGAGGAAAGUGGAAUUCCUAGUGUAGCGGUGAAAUGCGUAGAUAUUAGGAGGAACACCAGUGGCGAAGGCGACUUUCUGGACUGUAACUGACGCUGAGGCACGAAAGCGUGGGGAGCAAACAGGAUUAGAUACCCUGGUAGUCCACG
rnacentral:rRNA from 1 species